rnacentral:tRNA from 1 species
AUUUAUAUAGUAUAAUAAAAAUUACAUUUAACUUCCAAUUAAAAAAUUUAGAAUUUUAAAACUAAUAUAAAUA